UACGAGGGGUGCAAGCGUUGUUCGGAAUUACUGGGCGUAAAGGGAGCGUAGGCGGAAGAGCAAGCGGACUGUACAAUCCCGGGGCCCAACCCCGGUCCUGCAGUCCGGACUGCUUUUCUUGGAUAGUUCAGGGGCAGGCGGAAUUCCUGGUGUAGCGGUGGAAUGCGUAGAGAUCAGGAAGAACACCGAUGGCGAAGGCAGCCUGCUGGGGACUUUAUCGACGCUGAGGCUCGAAAGUGCGGGUA
rnacentral:rRNA from 1 species